GCUGGGCAUGGUGGCAUAUGCCUGAAAUCCCAGCAACUCUGGAGGCAGAGGCAGGAGGAUUGCAAGUUCAAGGCCAGCCUUGGCAACUUAGCAAUGCCCUCAGUAACUUAGUAAGACCCUGUCUCAA
rnacentral:sRNA from 1 species